rnacentral:snoRNA from 1 species
NNNNCCUAAAGAUAUAUCUUUCUAUGGUCUGCUGGCCAUUUCAGAACUUGGGCAGUGAAAUGGUCAAUUCAUUAGAAAGAAACAGUU